CAGUAAGGGGGUGUGGGCCUGGAGCCAGCCCUUCUGGGUCCCUGCCAAGGAGGGACAGGUGGCCGUGCUGCUGGUCGACACCGAGGGCUCCAUGGACGUGGAAAGAAACAAGGAGACCAGCAUCAAACUCUGCGCCCUGUCCAUGCUGCUCAGCUCCUACCAGAUACUGAACAUCGGCUG